UACACGCUGUGACUAGCAUAUCAAUAAGCGGAGGAAAAGAAACUAACAGGGAUUCCCCUAGUAACGGCGAGUGAAGCGGGAAGAGCUCAAAUUUGAAAUCUUAAAGGGUUUCCCUUUACGAAUUGUAGUUUAAAGAAGUGUUUUCUGUUGAGGUUUUGGUAAAAGUUCUUUGGAAUAGGACAUCAUAGAGGGUGAGAAUCCCGUAUUUGACCUUUACUUUCAACUUUGUGAUACACUUUCAAAGAGUCGGAUUGUUUGGGAAUGCAGUCCAAAAUGGGUGGUAAAUUUCAUCUAAAGCUAAAUAUUGGCGAGAGACCGAUAGCGAACAAGUACCGUGAGGGAAAGAUGAAAAGAACUUUGAAAAGAGAGUUAAACAGUACGUGAAAUUGUCAAGAGGGAAGCGUUUGACACCAGUGUUGUUUUUCUGAAAAUCAAUUAAAGAACUGUUUAUGCUAAGCUGUUUAGACUUUAUCAGCUAUCUGUUUAGUUUUGAGCUUUUCUUUAAUGCACUUUUCAGUUAACAAGUCAACAUCAAUUUCUUUUGCUGUAAAAAGCUUGAGGAAGGUGGCUUGAGAUUCGUCUUAAGUGUUUAUAGCCUCUUGCCUAUGCAGUCGGAGAGAUUGAGGUCUGCAGCGUAGAUCCUUCGGGGCUAAAUGCAUUUGUGCUAAGUUAUAGCAUUUUAUAGACAACUUGUUGACUAUGAUUUGUCUUGUAGCUUACUCGCUUAUGUUAUUUUACCUACGCUUAGGAUGUUGAAGAUGUAGCACAUCAU
rnacentral:rRNA from 1 species